rnacentral:rRNA from 1 species
GCACGCCGCUCAGAACUAAGGAAGUUGAGGGGCCGCACAAGCGUGGAGUAUGUGGUUUAAUUCGAUGCAACGCGAAGAACCUUACCUGGUCUUGACAUCCCGGAGACCCUUAGGAAACUAGGGGGUGCUUCCAUCUGGAAGAAUCUGGAGACAGGUGCUGCAUGGCUGUCGUCAGCUCGUGUCGUGAGAUGUUGGGUUAAGUCCCGCAACGAGCGCAACCCUUGCCUUUAGUUGCCAGCAGUUCGGCUGGGCACUCUAAAGGGACUGCCGGUGUUAAACCGGAGGAAGGUGGGGAUGACGUCAAGUCCUCAUGGCCUUUAUGACCAGGGCUACACACGUACUACAAUGGCCGAUACAAAGGGCAGCGACACUGCGAGGUGAAGCCAAUCCCGUAAAAUCGGUCUCAGUCCGGAUUGGAGUCUGCAACUCGACUCCAUGAAGUUGGAAUCGCUAGUAAUCGUGGAUCAGCAUGCCACGGUGAAUACGUUCCCGGGCCUU